rnacentral:rRNA from 1 species
UGGGGAAUAUUGGACAAUGGGCGCAAGCCUGAUCCAGCCAUACCGCGUGGGUGAAGAAGGCCUUCGGGUUGUAAAGCCCUUUUGUUGGGAAAGAAAUCCAGCUGGCUAAUACCCGGUUGGGAUGACGGUACCCAAAGAAUAAGCACCGGCUAACUUCGUGCGAGCAGCCGCGGUAAUACGAAGGGUGCAAGCGUUACUCGGAAUUACUGGGCGUAAAGCGUGCGUAGGUGGUCGUUUAAGUCCGUUGUGAAAGCCCUGGGCUCAACCUGGGAACUGCAGUGGAUACUGGGCGACUAGAGUGUGGUAGAGGGUAGCGGAAUUCCUGGUGUAGCAGUGAAAUGCGUAGAGAUCAGGAGGAACAUCCAUGGCGAAGGCAGCUACCUGGACCAACACUGACACUGAGGCACGAAAGCGUGGGGAGCAAACAGGAUUAGAUACCCUGGUAGUCCACGCCCUAAACGAUGCGAACUGGAUGUUGGGUGCAAUUUGGCACGCAGUAUCGAAGCUAACGCGUUAAGUUCGCCGCCUGGGGAGUACGGUCGCAAGACUGAAACUCAAAUGAAUUGAC